GUUCCAUAGCAUAAUCCUUGAAAGCCCUGAGGCCCAGACCGCUCGCUGUCCUUCUUUCCUCUCCACUGACUCCCAUCCUCGAUAUACUUUCUAUGAGAGAAAGAUCUGAUUGAAAAUGGCCCAUGGAGUACAACCACCUGGGAACAUAUUCUUGAGAAAGACAGUUGAGGCUUAUUGCCUAAACCACAGGCUACUGAAAACUUGGCCAAAGGCGACUACUCUAGACUGGUGACUUCAAAAGUGCUGAUGAAUACAGUGAACUGUGAAAGAUGCAUGAUUUGUUUUGAACAUUUUACUAUGAUUGAUGACCCAGAUUUGGCAAGUUAGUUCACUCCCAGUGGAGAUGGAAGUUUCACUGCCUUCUUUCUUUCAACAUUCUUGUUGAGACAGAUUUCACUUUUAUUGGCCAAUGUACUAACAAAUCACUUGCAUUUGCAGCAUAAUGAAUUCAUUAGCAACACUGUGGAUCAAUGCUGUACAUAAUAUUCCUGAGUCAACAUUAACUCUUAAUUAAAUUUCCAUAGUAUAA